UAAGACAUCCAGGCGGCCUUCACCCAAGGCUCUCAAGAUACCCAAGUGAGAAGACCCAGCGCACGACUUGGGGGCAGUUCUAAUUUGGAGCUCCUUCUAAGAAAGCAAAAAUCAUCUGAGACACACAGACGGAAAAUGGGACAACCCUUCCUAAUAAUGAGGACAUGCUGUAGGAAUAUGCUGGCAAGAUGGGUUGCCAUGGCAAUCCUUUGAAGAUGCAGACCCAAAAAACCUCAAGUGAAGCUCCUCCCUCUGGGAUCUCCCUCAGCUGCCGUGAGCAAACGGUGAGCGAAGGAAGGAGAAGACUCAAGAAAUGUGGGGACCGGUUAUGCGUCCAGCGCUACAGCACUGGUUUAGAGUUAGGGCCCCAACUGAGGAGAUGGGUUACGAUGUGGGAGCACCGACAGCUUCAUACCUUCUGGUCUAGGGAGGACCAGAAUUGGUGGCCUCCGACCCCAAUUCAAAGAGCAGCUUUAAACCACCUGGGAGCAGAUCUGCCGAAGGACCAUCUUCACCUGUGCAACAGACUCAUGCAUACAGCGCAUUCAGCUGAACACCUCUCUGCGCCAUCCUUUUGCCCCUGCCUCUUGCAGACGGUCUGAUCUCGAAAAAGCUGCACUUCUUUCCGUUUCCCAAAGCAAGGAUUUGAAAUUUUAGCAAGCCUUUGGGGCAAGUCUGAGUUUCAGGAGUCACCAAGCGACAAUGGCUUCCAGUUUGGACAAAGUGGCAACGUUCUGUAUGAGGGGGAAGAGGGUUUGUUAACUUUUUAGCCCAGCAUAUUAUGCACAGUCAGUGAUUCCAAAGCUGUGUGUGUCUCCCUCCGGGCUUGAAAAGCAUUCCUCCUCUUUAACAGAGAACGUAACUGGGACUGUGUAUUGCCUCGAGGCCCUUGAGAUGGGGGGGGGGGUGUAUGUCAAUAAAUCUUACCAAUAAGUCAAUUGCACUAAGCCACCGUUUGUUUUAUUAUGGUUUAGUGAACCACAGUUGGCUAGGUGUGGCUUCUGCACAAUGCCAUCCACCUUAUUUCACAAGCCACUGUGAUUUAGUUCACGCAACCCAGUGCUACGACCCAUUCCCAUUACAGCUCAGCAAAAUGUGUGAACGUGUCAAUGAACUCCAUGAGCUUGCUAAGGACGCUCUCUUCUUUCUUUCUGCCUUUGCCCUCCCUUGCACUCCCUUGCACACCUCUCGGUCAUGGCACACCCUUAGAAAGCAAUUCAAAUACUCUGUGCAGAUAAGUUCUUCUGUUAUUCUUCAUGCUUUUCAGCAGCGAAGAAUUCUUGAUGAGCACUUCCAGAACAUACAAAAGGGAGCAUUUAUUUACACAAAUUACAAGCUGAGUGGGUCAGCCUCUUUUCCCACUCAUCAUCCUUAGAGGCUGCUUAAAAGUAGCGCUGUCCCCCCAGCCUAUUCAAAAUAACAAGCGCCCCCCCCCGCUCCCUCCCUCCUUCCCACCAUUUCUGCUUCCUUCCUUGACUCCUUCCAGCUCCAAGAGGCUGCUGCCCCACUGACUCCACCCCAUCCAGGCAGGCUUUCUUCUGUGGCUGUUCACCAGCAGCCAUCAACACCCCCAACUGACAUUCUAGCAUGGCUUAUUAUUAAAUAAUAAUAAUUUAUUAUUAAAGAAACGUCUCUAUCAGCCAGCAGAGAUAAGAGUUUAUUGCCUCACACUCCACUCAACAACACUUCCGUUAAGUUGUUAUAUGCCUUGUUACAGAUAAGGGCAAGUUUUAGAUAUGGGUCACCUUAUUCUUUAUUGCAUUAAAAAGAUUUUUUUCCCUUUUUGAUGACCCCAAGGGUCUGGAGAGGGGGAGCAUGCUUUUUGAUUGAUCGCAAAAGCUUGGAGAGCAAACAGUUAGCUACAGCUCAGUAAGAUCUUCCAGCUGCGGGGGGCCAAACGCAACAUUAGCUCAGGGAGUCAUUUGCAAGCAGGAGCUCUUCUGCGCUGGCAACUGACAGGCAGCUGCCAGAUACAUCACCAACGCGGUGAUCCACUGCCUGGGAGUGCUGAAAUGCUUCAGCACAUCUGCAGCCUCCCUACAAUGGGCUCCCAUUGCAACCCUUGGCUUCCAACUUUGGGAUGGUUUGCAGAUCUUGACAGGGGGGCCCAACAUCCCAAAGGGCAGCAAUUUCCACAGCCCCGAUGGCUUGCAGCUGCUCGGAGAAGCUCUUUUGACACAUGCUAAACCACAAACUGUGCUUAACCAACCACCCACAGCUGUGUUCCUACUGUAGGAUGCACCAAAAUAAGCAGAUCGCGUUUGGGUUCACUACGUCAGCGUAGUUUUCUUGGUUUUCACUUUACCACUGUGGUUUGUGAACCCAGGCUCAUGGUUUACAUGCUGUGCUAACACAGCCCAAAGAAGGGGGGCACAGCUUCAGAUCUGCUUGGGAGGAGAAAAGUUUGGAGUGGGAAGAAAG